rnacentral:rRNA from 1 species
CGGGGUGCACCAGGCGCGAAAACUUUACAAUGCUGGCAACAGCGAUAAGGGGACCUCGAGUGCCAGGAUACAAUCUUGGCUGUCGUAAUGCCUAAAAAGCAUUGCAUAGCAAGGGCCGGGCAAGACCGGUGCCAGCCGCCGCGGUAACACCGGCGGCUCGAGUGGUAACCGCUAUUAUUGGGUCUAAAGGGUCUGUAGCCGGCCGGAUAAGUCUUUUGGGAAAUCCAGCUGCUUAACAGUUGGGCUUUCAGAAGAUACUGUUCGGCUCGAGACCGGGAGAGGUGAGAGGUACUUCAGGGGUAGGGGUGAAAUCUUGUAAUCCUUGAAGGACCACCAGUGGCGAAGGCGUCUCACCAGAACGGAUCUGACGGCAAGGGACGAAAGCUAGGGGCACGAACCGGAUUAGAUACCCGGGUAGUCCUAGCCGUAAACGAUACUCGCUAGGUGUCAGCCACGGUGCGACCGUGGUUGGUGCCGUAGGGAAGCCGUGAAGCGAGCCACCUGGGAAGUACGGCCGCAAGGCUGAAACUUAAAGGAAUUGGCGGGGGAGCACAAGGGCGAUUCGCG